UCAAUUUCAACCUUCAUCACUUACAAUUCAACAAUAUUUGGAUUUCGGUCGAAUAGGAACAUCAGCAAAUUCAUACACAUUUUUGAAAAAUGAGCUUCUCGUUCGUUUGGCGAAUAUUAUGCAGGAAUUCACACUUCUUCCACCAAAGCUUCUUCAAAUGCCAAGUUCAAAAAUGGUAUCAAAUUGGUAUGCUGAGAGUUUCGAGGAUCUUCUUUUGUUCGAGGCAUCUGAUUCAUCUCCAGAGCAAGUUGCAAGGUAAGAGAAAAAAUUGAAUACCUAAUUUACAAAAAAAAACUUGAUUUUUUGGUUUUAAAAGUUUAGAAAUACAUUUUUAAAAUAUUAAUGUUAAUUUAUGUUUUUCAGAUUCAAUGAUCAGUUAACAGUCGUACUGAAAAGACACGCACAUGUCGUCGAAACAAUGGCUGAAGGAUUGAUUGAACUUCGAGAAUCGGAUGGAGUAGAUAUUGCAAGUGAAAAAGGAAUUCAAUAUUUCUUGGAUCGAUUUUACAUCAACAGAAUUUCCAUUCGUAUGCUUCAAAAUCAACAUCUGGUAAGUUAUUUUAAAAAUUUUAAUAUUUUCAAAUAAAACAUUUUUUCCAGGUUGUAUUCGGAAAUGUUCUCCCAGAAAGUCCUCGUCAUGUUGGAUGUAUUGAUCCUGCCUGUGAUGUGGAAAGUGUAGUGUACGAUGCUUUUGAAAAUGCUCGGUGAGUGCAAGUUGAUGAUAAAAUUGCCUAGAAAUUAAAGAAAUAAGCCGAUAAAAGUCCAAAGUUUCACCAGAAAAUGUUCUAAAAUUUUUUUUUUGAGAUUGAUGUUCAAGGCCCUCAGCAAUACCUUCCAUUUCUUCAUUUUUUGCUUCUUUGCUAGAACUUCCGGCUCUUAAUUCUUGCAGAAAAUUGUGAUAAAUUAAUUCUGAGUAAAUUUUUCUCAAAAAAUUUACGAAAAGUCAAUAAAUUUUAACAAAAAUUUCCGUUGGACCGCUCUGGUCCUCAUCAGGCCUUCUCAACUAUACGAAUGGCGUCUUUUGGGUUUUUGAUAAGCUAGUUCUUCGCUGUCCGUCUGCGACGAAGAUUGAAUGUGCUGUGUCUCUGGGUGAGCACAUAGUCGUCAGUUGUCAUUUGAGCCUGAAAACAUAGUUCAUUCUCUCUACCACCACUGCCCAUUCAACCUUUCUUCCGUGCAGGGAGUGUUCUUUGAGAUGGAGAGGGAUGACGUUUGAUUUUUUAAAACGCGUGUGAUUUCGGGCAAACCUGAUCAUUUCAAAGAACGAAAAUAUGAAUUAGAGGGAUAAGGAGGAAAAUAUGCAAUUUUGAUUUAGAAAAUUUCCGUGGGAGUUUUAUUCUGAUCUUUUACAAAAUUAUCAUAGAAAAUUUGAUUUGAGGGUUAAAAAAACACAAAAAAAUUUUUAAUGAUUUUUUUCACUUUUGCAAAAAUAAAGGAACGGCUGAAACUAUUUCACCUGAAAUUUAGCGACAUGAUUUUAAUCGGAAAAACUUAAAAAAAAACAGAAAAAGCUAAUAUUUUCAUAUAAUAAUUUUUUGUUACAGAUUUCUAUGUGAUCGAUACUACUUGACAAGUCCAUCAAUGAAGCUUGAAAUGCACAAUGCCGUUGAAAAAGGAAAACCAAUAUCGAUUGUCGCCGUACCAAGUCAUCUCUAUCACAUGAUGUUCGAACUGUUUAAGG
rnacentral:sRNA from 1 species